rnacentral:rRNA from 1 species
UGGAUAUUUAAGUCAGAUGUGAAAUCCCUGGGCUCAACCCAGGACCUGCAUUUGAAACUGGAUGUCUAGAGUGCGGGAGAGGUAAGUGGAAUUCCUAGUGUAGCGGUGAAAUGCGUAGAGAUUAGGAAGAACACCAGUGGCGAAGGCGACUUACUGGACCGUAACUGACACUGAGGCACGAAAGCGUGGGUAGCAAACAGGAUUAGAUACCCUGGUAGUCCACGCCGUAAACGAUGAGUACUAGGUGUAGGGGGUAUCGACUCCCCCUGUGCCGCAGUUAACACAAUAAGUACUCCGCCUGGGAAGUACGAUCGCAAGAUUAAAACUCAAAGGAAUUGACGGGGGCCCGCACAAGCAGCGGAGCAUGUGGUUUAAUUCGAAGCAACGCGAAGAACCUUACCUAGACUUGACAUCCCCUGCAUUACUCGUAACUGAGGAAGUCCUUCGGGACAGGGAGACAGGUGGUGCAUGGUUGUCGUCAGCUCGUGUCGUGAGAUGUUAGGUUAAGUCCUGCAACGAGCGCAACCCUUAUCAUUAGUUGCUACCAUUCAGUUGAGCACUCUAGUGAGACUGCCCGGGUUAACCGGGAGGAAGGUGGGGAUGACGUCAAAUCAUCAUGCCCCUUAUGUCUAGGGCUACACACGUGCUACAAUGGCCGGUACAAAGAGACGCGAUACCGCGAGGUGGAGCCAAACUAUAAAACCGGUCUCAGUUCGGAUUGUAGGCUGAAACUCGCCUACAUGAAGCUGGAGUUGCUAGUAAUCGCGAAUCAGAAUGUCGCGGUGAAUACGUUCCCGGGCCUUGUACACACCGCCCGUCACACCACGAGAGUUGGCAAUACCCAAAGUUGGUGAUCUAACCCGUAAGGGAGGAAGCCACCUAAGGUAGGGUCAGCGAUUGGGGUGAAGUCGUAACAAGGUAGCC